AAGAUAAAACGAAAGAAAUAACAAUUGCAUAUAUGGUGUUUGUACAUAAUGUAUGCGUUUAUCAUAGUUUGUCUUUAUGUAAUUUAAUUGUUUUCUUUUACGCAUAAAACCUAGAGUAACGUUAAACGGCCCAAAUGGAUGAGGAAAACGUCAUCAUCGACGUCUUUUAAUUAUUACACGGACACUAAACGCCGGGGUUUCAACUGCGCACUUGAUUCACUUGAUCUUUGAUAGCUCGAUUUCGGAGAACUGUUGGAGUUAAUUGCAUUUUUUACAAUUCAAUAAUCAGUUUUUUUUAGAACCAUUUUAUAUCGUGAAUUUUCUUUUGAGAUUUUGCUGAGGUGGUCAAAAUGCGAGUUAAUAAUAUUGAUUGACCGAAUUUCGUUUCGAAUCUGGCAACUGCGUGGUAAAUACUUAUAUAUAUAUAGCGCUGAAUAUAUUUUAUUAUAUUUUAUUUUAGUAGUU